rnacentral:sRNA from 1 species
AAGCGAAGCCCGAUUGAUAGCAAAUCGUUUCAACAACAGAGAAUUUGACGCUGGACAAGUCUGGUAUCUGGUCAAUACUGAGCAUGCCGGUGACGAAAACUCUCCCCCGUCCUCGUUACCGGCAGCAGGCAAUUCGGCAGCAUGGGUGUUGCCUGUAUCACUCCUAAUGGUCUUGACCCGGAUUCGUCCCCCUGAAUUCGG